CUCUAUUUGGAUCAAGAUGUUUUGGAUAGAGCGAUGCGCAUCACCACCGACCAAGGGAAAUUCCAUAGGUGGAGGUAAAGGUCUUCGGGAAAAUGACGUAAUGUGUCGCCCAACUAAAGCGUUCAGGUUGGGGUCGCGACUUAAUGAUAAUAACCUCGAAGAUUGUGUGACUGGAAUGGGGGGCGAAAGCCUUUACACACAGCGCAGGA
rnacentral:sRNA from 11 species